rnacentral:rRNA from 1 species
CCAGACUCCUACGGGAGGCAGCAGUGGGGAAUAUUGCACAAUGGGGGAAACCCUGAUGCAGCAACGCCGCGUGAGUGAAGAAGUAUUUCGGUAUGUAAAGCUCUAUCAGCAGGGAAGAGAAUGACGGUACCUGACUAAGAAGCCCCGGCUAACUACGUGCCAGCAGCCGCGGUAAUACGUAGGGGGCGAGCGUUAUCCGGAUUUACUGGGUGUAAAGGGAGCGUAGACGGUUCUGCAAGUCUGAAGUGAAAGCCCGUGGCUUAACCGCGGAACGGCUUUGGAAACUGUGCAGCUAGAGUGCAGGAGAGGUAAGUGGAAUUUCUAGUGUAGCGGUGAAAUGCGUAGAUAUUAGGAGGAACACCAGUGGCGAAGGCGGCUUACUGGACUGUAACUGACGUUGAGGCUCGAAAGCGUGGGGAGCAAACAGGAUUAGAUACCCGGGUA